CAUCGCGUGGACAUUCAUUCCGAAAUAAAUGGCAAGGGGGCGACUGAAGCAGUAUCCACCCCAAAGCGAGCAGUUCAAGGGAAUCCAGAUGGUGGAUUCAAGGAAGGUGUAGGCAGGACCAGGAUACCAUCUUUAGGAAGAAACAAAGGAGAAUUUUCAAAGCAUCCAGUUCUGAAGGAAACAGCAGACCAGCCUAACCAAGAUGGUGCGUCAAAUGGACCAACUCCUCCAUCAACUGGGGUGGACCACUCCUUAAAUCCUUCAGCGAGCCAGUCCGCAG